UCGCGGCGGCGCGCGCUGCGCGACGGGCUUAACCCCCCGCGGCCGGCUGCGUGCCGCCGCAGAAGAGAGUGGGGACCCCGAGUAGGGUGGUGGCUGGGGCGGCCUCCUGAGGUGGUUCCUCCAGGUCCGCGCGGUCCACCCCGCCCCUCCGCCCCCAGGACGGGGGUCGGGAAUGUGAACUGAUGCGCGUGCCCGUUGGCGGCUACCCCUGCCUCGGUCACCUCUAAACUGUCCGGCCUAGAGGGCUUGGUCUUGGUCUAUUUUCUUUCAUCAAAGGAAACAAGAGCUGAGGUCCUUCUUCCAGCUUUUCACCACCAGAAUCAAGGGCAUUAAAGAGUGGAAUUCAGUCUAACCUGAGGUAUCAGAAAUGACUUCUAAUAAGAGAUGCUCUAAGCCAAGAUUUCAAACCUCCUCAGAGAGAACUCAGAGCAGAAGUUGGGGAAGAGCAAGGAAGACCACAAAGACCUCACAGUGGGACAAGCAGAGUCCCAGGGACUAAAAAGAAAUGAGGGAGAUGAUGCGAGAUGAGUCCAGAGAACCAAAGGGCCACAUGCAGGGACCUACAGUCUUCCUAAGGAUUCUUACCUUCAUUUUGAAAGUAACACAAACAAAUUGGAGAGUUUUUAGUAGGAAUGACAUGAUCAGACUUUGUGUUUUUAAUGAUCACCUUGACUUCAGUGUAAAGAAUUCAAUCCUUAAAUAAAUAUGUCCUCGGUGCACACUACAGGCCAAGUACUAGUCUGGUCCUGAGUCCACAGCAGUGGACAAAUGCGGACUCCCUGUUUUUGAGGAUCUCAUAGACAACACAUAAAUAGUACAUAAGGUGGUGAGAAGUGCUCUCAAGAUCAUUGGAACCCAGGGACUUCCCUGGCAGUCCAGUGGCUAAGACUCCAUGCUUCCAGGGCAGGGGGCCCAGGUUCGAUCCCUGGUCAGGGAACUCGGUCCCACGUGCAGCAACUAUGACUUUGCAUGCUGCAACUAAGAUCUGGUGCAGCCAAAUAUUAAAAAAGAAUAUUGGAACCCAGGAAGAAUAAGAGGGUUAGGGUCUAGUUGUUUUAUUAGUUUGAGCCAUAUGAAAUUAUUGCUCUCUUUGCAUCUUUUUUCUCUUUUAACCUCAGGAUGAUAUUUAGUUUAUGUGGCACAGCUGAGUAGAAUAACAUUAGAAUUACAUCAUUCAACCUAACACUUAAAAGAGUCAGAGAAGUCCUAAUGAGGUGACCCAGAGGCAAGCCAUGCAAAUUCACAG
ensembl:lncRNA